AGGUUGGCCACGCGUCAUCAAUCAUGUGACAUUCCUAAGGUCUCUGCUCACGUUACCAUAGAUACCGAAUAACUGUAAUAAAAAAGUUAUGGAUACUCUUGCUUUACUGACUUGUAACACCGGACUAGCUGUGUCUGUUGUCUGGCUGGACCAAGAUUAGCUAGACUAUAGGGUAGAGUAUAGUUUAGCAGUGCUGUAUGAAGCUUGCAUUGUACUGGCUGUCAAGAAUCUAGUAAACACUGUAUGCACUGAUAACUCGCCAGAAUAAAGGGGAUCGGUGGGGAUCGGGUUGGUUAAUGAAAGUUUUAUAUCAAAAGAAGCCAGCGAGGCACAUAAAGUUUGCCUUCAGUCUCUAAUGACCGUGCAACACCAGCUAAAAGUUUACAUAGAACUCAUUUGUCAAUUUUUGUGCCAGCUCAGCAAAAAAAGUGGUGCACGUGAUCGUGUCCAACCUCCUCUGGCAGCGCAUAUGGCAACUUAUGAGGUGGGCGUGGCUUUGACAUCGAUAACACAAGCCUCCUUUCUUCAGCUCAGCUCUCCAUUCUCUCUCACUUCAGGUUAAUAUUCACCAAAAACCAUAUUUUCCGGCAGCAAAAGGAUAAAAAAAGAGAAAAAGAGAGCGAAAGAGGAGCCAUCACAAGAGGACUCGUGGAUGUAGCUCAUUCUGCAUGUGUGCCUAUAAUUAGUAACUGUUAAUUUAAGAUGUAAUGUCACCCCAUUUUUGUGCACAUACAUUCAACCACCCGCUCCUACGUACGUACGUACAUGUAUAUGUAUAUGUAUGACAUGUAUAAUUAUAUAAUCUAUAGACACCAUGCAUUAUAAUUUGUACACAGUAUAUUUAUUACUAAAACAUUGUAGCUAUAAUUUAUUGUGUAAAUACUUUUACUCAACAAUUCAAACAAACAACAAGUCAAUCAUGCAUUAUAUCAAUUGA